rnacentral:ribozyme from 1 species
CGACUUUCAAGCUUGCCAAGCACGCCAAAUGAAAAGGAACUGCAAAAGGCGAUU